rnacentral:lncRNA from 1 species
GUAGACUUAGUCAGUCCUACCUCUAAUCCUAGUCUCUCCUUAAAAUUCCCCUUUUGGUAUAGAGUAGGAUUUAAAUUUAUCAGUGGAAGUUAUCUAUAAUUACCAAUCAGAAAGUUAAAUUACAUGAAAAAAAAAUAAUGCUUUUUUUGGGUUUUUUGAGUCACGGUUAAUAAUCCCUUAAAUGCUUCCAUAUCAGCUCAGCCAGGUGAACUAGAGCCUUGUGCAUGCCUUUCUUCCUGAAACCCUUGUUAGGUAACUCUGACCACGCCCAUGUGGGUGUGGUCAUUAGUACCUGUGACCUGCGGAAAGUGGACUUAGU